rnacentral:sRNA from 1 species
AACGGGACCCUUUCUCUGGGAUGUGUUGGGUCAGUGAACAGAAGAUGGGGUGAAUGAUGUUUCUGACCCACAGGCCGUUUGGAUGCUUUUGCUGUCACUUUCUCAUCAUGCUGCAUGAGGCAUGACAGCAGCUGUGCCGUUGAUGCCCCAGAAUAGAAUCACUGAGCCUUCUCUCCAGCAGCUCCUCAAUGGUGUCGCUGUCUCUCCCCCCAGUGAUCCCCCCAGGGGUGCCCGAUGCCCACCCCAGGAAAGAAGACCUGCCAGUGUUCCAGGACCAGAUCCAGCAGCCCAGCACCGAGGAAGGGGCCGUGGCAGAGAGAGUGGAGUCCGAGGGGAGUGACGAGGAAGCAGAAGAUGAAGGGUCCCAGCUGGUAGUCUUGGACCCAGACCACCCCCUGAUGGUAAGAUUCCAGGCUGCCCUGAAGAACUACCUGAACCGACAGAUCGAAAAGUUGAAGCUGGACCUCCAAGAGCUGGUGUGUAUCCGUCCAGUCUCCCACCCCGGCCGGAUGCCUGCAUCCUGGUGACCUGUUUCUCUCUUUGGUCCAGGUUGUGGCUACCAAGCAGAGCCGAGCCCAGCGGCAGGAGCUGGGGGUGAAUCUCUAUGAGGUGCAGCAGCACCUGGUACACCUGCAGAAGCUGCUGGAGAAGAGUCACGACCGCCACGCAAUGGCCUCGAGCGAGCGCAGGCAGAAGGAGGAGGAGCUGCAGGGCGCCCGCGCACUCUAUGCCAAGACCUGCGCGGCCGCCAACGAGGAGCGCAAAAAGCUGGCAGCUCUGCAGACUGAGAUGGAGAACUUGGCCCUGCAUCUCUUCUACAUGCAGAACAUCGACCAGGACACACGUGACGACAUCCGUGUGAUGAAGCAAGUGGUGAAGAAGGCCGAGACGGAGAGGAUCCGGGCGGAAAUCGAGAAGAAAAAGCAGGACCUGUAUGUGGACCAGCUCACCACUCGAGCCCAGCAGCUGGAAGAAGACAUUGCCCUGUUUGAGGCCCAGUACUUGGCCCAAGCUGAGGACACCCGGAUUUUAAGGAAAGCAGUGAGUGAGGCCUGCACAGAGAUCGAUGCCAUCAGCAUGGAGAAGAGGCGCAUCAUGCAGCAGUGGGCCACCAGCCUGGUGGGCAUGAAGCACCUCGACGAGGCACACCGGGCGGUGCUGGAGGCGCUCAGAGAAUGCCAGCAUCAAGCCAAAUCCAUCGACAGCGAGAUUGAGGCCUGUAAGAAAUCCAUCGUGAAGGAGGAAGAAAAGAACGAGAAGCUGGCGAGCAUCCUGAACCGGACAGAGACGGAAGCCGCGCUGCUGCAGAGGCUCACCACCCAGUGCCUGACCAAGCAUGUGGCCCUGCAGAGCCAGUUCAACACCUACAGGCUCACCCUGCAGGACACAGAGGAUGCCCUCAGCCAGGACCAGCUGGAACAAAUGAUACUCACGGAGGAGCUGCAGGCCAUCCGCCAAGCCAUCCAGGGCGAGCUGGAGCUCAGGAGGAAGACGGACGCUGCCAUCCGGGAGAAGUUGCAGGAGCACAUGACCUCCAACAAGACCACCAAAUACUUCAACCAGCUCAUCCUGAGGCUGCAGAAGGAGAAGACCAACAUGAUGACACAUCUUUCCAAAAUCGACGGUGACAUUGCCCAGACCACCCUGGACAUCACACACACCAGCAGCAGGCUGGACGCACACCGGAAGACACUGGGGGAGCUGGACCAGGACGUGAAGAAAGUCAACGAGCUCAUCACCAACAGCCAGAGCGAGAUCUCCCGGCGCACGAUCCUGAUCGAGAGGAAGCAAGGGCUCAUCAACUUCCUCAACAAGCAGCUGGAGCGGAUGGUCUCCGAGCUGGGGGGGGAAGAAGUGGGGCCCCUGGAGCUUGAAAUCAAAAGGCUGAGCAAGCUGAUCGACGAGCACAAUGCCAAGGCGGUCCAGGCCCAGGUGACCUGGCUGCGCCUGCAGCAGGAGAUGGUCAAGGUGACACAGGAGCAGGAGGAACAGCUGGCCUCCCUGGACGCGUCCAAGAAGGAGCUCCACAUCAUGGAGCAGAAGAAACUACGAGUAGAAAGCAAGAUUGAGCAGGAGAAGAAGGAGCAGAAGGAGAUCGAGCACCACAUGAAGGACCUGGACAACGACCUGAAGAAGCUCAACAUGUUGAUGAAUAAAAACCGGUGCAGCUCGGAGGAGCUGGAGCAGAACAACCGGGUGACGGAGAAUGAGUUCGUGCGCUCGCUGAAGGCCUCUGAGAGGGAGACCAUCAAGAUGCAGGACAAGCUGAACCAGCUCAGCGAGGAGAAGGCGACCCUCCUGAAUCAACUGGUGGAAGCAGAACACCAGAUUAUGCUUUGGGAGAAAAAAAUCCAACUGGCAAAAGAGAUGCGUUCCUCAGUGGAUUCCGAGAUCGGCCAGACAGAGAUCCGGGCUAUGAAGGGCGAGGUCCACAGGAUGAAGGUCAGGUUCGGGCAGCUGCUGAAGCAGCGGGAGAAGAUGAUCCGUGCCAUGGAGCUGGCGGUUGCCCGCAGAGAGACCAUCACCACCCAGGCCGAGGGGCAGCGCAAGAUGGACAGGAAGGUGCUCACCCGCACCGACUUCCACCACAAGCAGCUUGAGCUGCGCCGGAAAAUCAGGGACGUUCGCAAGGCCACCGACGAGUGCACCAAAACCAUCCUGGAACUGGAAGAAACACAAAGAAAUGUGAGCAGCUCCCUCCUAGAGAAGCAGCAAAAGCUGUCGGUGAUUCAGGCAGACUUCGACACACUCGAGGCCGACCUCACCCGGCUUGGGGCCCUCAAACAACAGAACCUUUCAGAGAUUGUGGCCCUGCAGACGCGCCUUAAGCACCUACAGGCUGUGAAGGAGGGGCGCUACGUGUUCUUGUUCCGCUCCAAGCAGUCCCUAGUGCUGGAGCGCCAGCGCCUGGACAAGCGGCUGGCUCUCAUCGCCACCAUCCUGGACCGCGUGCGGGACGAGUACCCCCAGUUCCAGGAGGCCCUGCACAAGGUCAGCCAGAUGAUCGCCAACAAGCUCGAGUCACCGGGGCCCUCCUAGGGAGCAGCCUGGAUCCCGCUCUGCAAGGCCUCCAGGAAGAGAUCCGGAAUUGUGUUUAUUAUGAGGGACUUGGAAUCUUUUGUGUUCCUAAAAACCACAUGUACCCUCAGAAGGGCAUCGUUUAAGAGAAAUAAGCCAGCCCCACCCAUAUGAAUCUUUUUAGCCACUCAGCAAUUUAAUAAACCAGGUAAAAUCCUAGCGUUUCCCAUGGCAUCCCAUCGCAAAGACAGAGCCUGUGACUGCAGACCCACACUCCCACACUGGGCUUACUCGUCCAGGUAACACUUUAGUUUGCAGCACUCCCAAAUCUGCACGUGCCUCUCACAACACAGCGCUGGCACAGGUCCGCGAGCUGGUGGGCUGAGCAGAGGUGAGAAAGUUAAGGCGGCUCCAGCCAGCCGGGCCCGGGAGGCUGCUCCCCACCAACACUUCCCUCUACUAGGUGCAUCUGAAAACCCACAAACCACCUUCUUUACCAGUUUUUCCCAUCCCCACCCCUUAGAAAGCUCAGGUCCCUUUUCCUGCCCCCAUGUCCCCAUUUGAGUUAAAUUCAGAUCCACAACUUGCAGGAGAAAGUCAGUGGCCCCAGACACACAUAACAGGGUAAGCACUGAAAUAAGAGCACGCUGGGGCGUCCACACCAAGGGACUACGCCCCAGUCUGCCCACCUACCUCUUCUCCAUCAUUAACCCAGCGCUCUUUCUCCCGGGACUUCCAACUACCAAUGACCUUGGGGCUUCUUUGCAGUUUAAAGGGAAAAUGCUCUACAAAAUAAUUUCACUUUCAUACAUUUCAGCAGAAGAAUAAAAUCUUUUUUCUGAAU